AUGUCUGGUUUGUCUGGCCCUGUAGCCCAGAGUGGCCUCCACCCCCGUUGGCAUUGCUGUUGGCAUUAAUGCUCCGACCCAGCUGGGUCCUCGCCAUCUCUUUCCAUCUGCCCGUUAACUCCUGCAAGUGUCUCCACGAGGAGAUCCACAAGGACCUGUCGUGACGGGCGCCUAGGAGAUCGCCGACCAGUCUGGGGGCGCUGGCAGCCUGUGCACCCACCUCAAGAUCACAGAUUCUGCUGGACAUAUUUUAUACUCCAAGGAAGAUGCAUCCAAGGGGAAGUUUGCCUUUACCACUGAAGAUCAUGACAUGUUUGAAGUACGUUUUGAGAGCAAGAGGACAGGGCGGAUCCCUGACCAACUGGUGAUCCUAGACAUGAAGCAUGGAGUGGAGGCGAAAAAUUAUGAAGAGAUGAACAAAAGUUGAGAAGCUCAGACCAUUAGAGGUGGAGCUAAGAUGCCUAGAAGACCUUUCAGGAUCUAUUGUUAAUGAUUUUGCCUACAUGAAGAAGCAAGAGGAGGAAAUGCGUGAUACCAAUGAGUCACCAAACACUGAGUCCUGUACUUCAGCAUCUUUUCACUGUUCUGCCUUAUGGGACUAGCCACCUGGCAGGUCUUCUGCCUUCGUCGCUUUUUCAAGGCCAAGAAGUUAACUGAGUAA